rnacentral:rRNA from 1 species
UAGUCCACGCCCUAAACGAUGCUAACUCGAUGUUUGUAUUUAUAUGAGCAUCCAAGGGAAACCGUUAAGUUAGCCACCUGGGGAGUACGAUCGCAAGGUUGAAACUCAAAGGAAUUGACGGGGGCCCGCACAAGCGGAGGAGCAUGUGGUUUAAUUCGAUGAUACGCGAGGAAUCUUACCUGGGCUUAAAUGUAGAGUGACCGGUGCCGAAAGGUACCUUUCUUCGGACAAUCUACAAGGUGCUGCAUGGUUGUCGUCAGCUCGUGCCGUGAGGUGUCGGGUUAAGUCCCAUAACGAGCGCAACCCCUAUCAUUAGUUGCCAUCAGGUUAAGCUGGGGACUCUAAUGAAACUGCCUACGCAAGUAGAGAGGAAGGUGGGGAUGACGUCAAAUCAGCACGGCCCUUACGCCCAGGGCUACACACGUGCUACAAUGGUCGGUACAAAGGGCAGCUACCUGGUGACAGGAUGCUAAUCUCUAAAACCGAUCUCAGUUCGGAUCGAAGUCUGCAACUCGA